rnacentral:rRNA from 1 species
UACGGAGGGGGCUAGCGUUAUUCGGAAUUAUUGGGCGUAAAGGCGCGUAGGCGGCCCGGUAAGUCAAAGGUGAAAUCCCUCGGCUCAACUGAGGAACUGCCUUUGAAACUGUCGGGCUUGAGGCCGGGAGGGGGUAGCGGAAUUCCCAGUGUAGCGGUGAAAUGCGUAGAUAAUUGGGAGGAACACCGGUGGCGAAGGCGGCUACCUGGACCGGUUCUGACGCUGACUGCGCGAAAGCGUGGGGAG